CGGUUAAGUUAGAAAGGGCGCACGGUGGAUGCCUUGGCACUAGGAGCCGAUGAAGGACGGGACGAACACCGAUAUGCUUCGGGGAGCUGUAAGCAAGCUUUGAUCCGGAGAUUUCCGAAUGGGGAAACCCACCACUCGUAAUGGAGUGGUAUCCAUAUCUGAAUACAUAGGAUAUGAGAAGGCAGACCCGGGGAACUGAAACAUCUAAGUACCCGGAGGAAGAGAAAGCAAAUGCGAUUCCCUGAGUAGCGGCGAGCGAAACGGGACCAGCCCAAACCAAGAGGCUUGCCUCUUGGGGUUGUAGGACACUCUGUACGGAGUUACAAAGGAACGAGGUAGAUGAAGAGGUCUGGAAAGGCCCGCCAUAGAAGGUAACAGCCCUGUAGUCAAAACUUCGUUCUCUCCUGAGUGGAUCCUGAGUACGGCGGAACACGUGAAAUUCCGUCGGAAUCCGGGAGGACCAUCUCCCAAGGCUAAAUACUCCCUAGUGACCGAUAGUGAACCAGUACCGUGAGGGAAAGGUGAAAAGCACCCCGGAAGGGGAGUGAAAGAGAUCCUGAAACCGUGUGCCUACAAGUAGUCAGAGCCCGUUAACGGGUGAUGGCGUGCCUUUUGUAGAAUGAACCGGCGAGUUACGAUCCCGUGCAAGGUUAAGCAGAAGAUGCGGAGCCGCAGCGAAAGCGAGUCUGAAUAGGGCGAAUUGAGUACGUGGUCGUAGACCCGAAACCAGGUGAUCUACCCAUGUCCAGGGUGAAGUUCAGGUAACACUGAAUGGAGGCCCGAACCCACGCACGUUGAAAAGUGCGGGGAUGAGGUGUGGGUAGGGGUGAAAUGCCAAUCGAACCUGGAGAUAGCUGGUUCUCUCCGAAAUAGCUUUAGGGCUAGCCUCAAGGUAAGAGUCUCGGAGGUAGAGCACUGAUUGGACUAGGGGCCCCUACCGGGUUACCGAAUUCAGUCAAACUCCGAAUGCCGAUGACUUAUCCUUGGGAGUCAGACUGCGAGUGAUAAGAUCCGUAGUCGAAAGGGAAACAGCCCAGACCGCCAGCUAAGGUCCCAAAGUAUACGUUAAGUGGAAAAGGAUGUGGAGUUGCUUAGACAACCAGGAUGUUGGCUUAGAAGCAGCCACCAUUUAAAGAGUGCGUAAUAGCUCACUGGUCGAGUGACUCUGCGCCGAAAAUGUACCGGGGCUAAACGUAUCACCGAAGCUGCGGACUGUUCUUCGAACAGUGGUAGGAGAGCGUUCUAAGGGCUGUGAAGCAAGACCGGAAGGACUUGUGGAGCGCUUAGAAGUGAGAAUGCCGGUAUGAGUAGCGAAAGAGGGGUGAGAAUCCCCUCCACCGAAUGCCUAAGGUUUCCUGAGGAAGGCUCGUCCGCUCAGGGUUAGUCGGGACCUAAGCCGAGGCCGAAAGGCGUAGGCGAUGGAUAACAGGUUGAUAUUCCUGUACCACCUCCUCACCAUUUGAGCAAUGGGGGGACGCAGGAGGAUAGGGUAAGCGCGGUAUUGGAUAUCCGCGUCCAAGCAGUUAGGCUGGGAAAUAGGCAAAUCCGUUUCCCGUGAAGGCUGAGCUGUGAUGGCGAGCGAAUUAUAGUAGCGAAGUUCCUGAUUCCACACUGCCAAGAAAAGCCUCUAGCGAGGUGAGAGGUGCCCGUACCGCAAACCGACACAGGUAGGCGAGGAGAGAAUCCUAAGGUGAUCGAGAGAACUCUCGUUAAGGAACUCGGCAAAAUGACCCCGUAACUUCGGGAGAAGGGGUGCUCUGUUAGGGUGCAAGCCCGAGAGAGCCGCAGUGAAUAGGCCCAGGCGACUGUUUAGCAAAAACACAGGUCUCUGCGAAGCCGUAAGGCGAAGUAUAGGGGCUGACGCCUGCCCGGUGCUGGAAGGUUAAGAGGAGCGCUUAGCGUAAGCGAAGGUGCGAAUUGAAGCCCCAGUAAACGGCGGCCGUAACUAUAACGGUCCUAAGGUAGCGAAAUUCCUUGUCGGGUAAGUUCCGACCCGCACGAAAGGCGCAACGAUCUGGGCACUGUCUCAACGAGAGACUCGGUGAAAUUAUAGUACCUGUGAAGAUGCAGGUUACCCGCGACAGGACGGAAAGACCCCGUGGAGCUUUACUGCAGCCUGAUAUUGAAUGUUGGUACAGCUUGUACAGGAUAGGUAGGAGCCUUGGAAACCGGAGCGCCAGCUUCGGUGGAGGCAUCGGUGGGAUACUACCCUGGCUGUAUUGACCUUCUAACCCGCCGCCCUUAUCGGGCGGGGAGACAGUGUCAGGUGGGCAGUUUGACUGGGGCGGUCGCCUCCUAAAAGGUAACGGAGGCGCCCAAAGGUUCCCUCAGAAUGGUUGGAAAUCAUUCGCAGAGUGUAAAGGCACAAGGGAGCUUGACUGCGAGACCUACAAGUCGAGCAGGGACGAAAGUCGGGCUUAGUGAUCCGGUGGUUCCGCAUGGAAGGGCCAUCGCUCAACGGAUAAAAGCUACCCCGGGGAUAACAGGCUUAUCUCCCCCAAGAGUCCACAUCGACGGGGAGGUUUGGCACCUCGAUGUCGGCUCAUCGCAUCCUGGGGCUGUAGUCGGUCCCAAGGGUUGGGCUGUUCGCCCAUUAAAGCGGUACGCGAGCUGGGUUCAGAACGUCGUGAGACAGUUCGGUCCCUAUCCGUCGCGGGCGCAGGAAAUUUGAGAGGAGCUGUCCUUAGUACGAGAGGACCGGGAUGGACGCACCGCUGGUGUACCAGUUGUUCUGCCAAGGGCAUCGCUGGGUAGCUAUGUGCGGACGGGAUAAGUGCUGAAAGCAUCUAAGCAUGAAGCCCCCCUCAAGAUGAGAUUUCCCAUUCCGCAAGGAAGUAAGAUCCCUGAAAGAUGAUCAGGUUGAUAGAGUGUGAGGUGGAAGUGUGGCGACACAUGGAGCUGACAGAUACUAAUCGAUCGAGGACUUAACCAAUUU
rnacentral:rRNA from 1 species